GUUCGAGUGAUGCUUGGAACGAAA
rnacentral:siRNA from 1 species